GGUUUCACAACGCACGUCUCUUGACUGAGUAACUACGCAGUGUUGUCAUUAUUUUGCGUUGUGAAUUUUAUGGUAGUGUGGUGCAAACGUUGCCGUGAAUAGCCAGUGGUGAGUGGAACUGACGGGCAGCUGCCGGAGAGACGUAAUAUUCUCUGCCUGUUUGUCUCUGUGACGGACGCCGGCGACACCAGUGCAAGAGACAUGACGCUUGCGUUUGUAGCUGUGGAUGUGAAUACAGAUAAAUAGUGGAUGCCAGAUUGUAGUAACACGCACAUCGAACAGAUCCUCUAAAUUUAUUCUGGUCAUACUGAGACGAGUUUGGCGGUGAACUCCGCGCCUCACGUCAGCCGAUGAAAAGAAAGACCAUAACAUGCAUCUGAAAUCUAUCCACGUCGCACACCAUAUUGAAAACUGAGGUACUUCAUUCGUUUAGAGUGUGCAACAGUGAAGCUUUAAGAAAUAAGUGUUGUUAACCACUGGAAACGUUAUGUAAAACUGCCGGAACAUACAAGAGAUUGAUGGCAGUCCAUUGAGAGGGCUCUGCUCCCUUCUGCACCUCUCUGGGCUGCAUCAGGAGGAGAUUAAGCAACUGCCACUACCACCACCACCACCACCACCACCACCACCACCACCACUGCUACUAUUACUGUAUGUCUGAAAGUAUGUGUCGAGUGGAUAUAGUGAGACAUUGAAGAGCACAAAGUUUGUGAAACAAUAGAAAGGUCAGUAGUCUGUCCUUUUGUUGUUUUUAUGAUCCUAUUUCAGCUAUGUCGAGAUUUGGCCAAAUGAUGUUGAGAAAUGUAGUGUGCAGUCAUCUGUGUAGGAUCGGAUAUGGCAAGAAGUUUCAGCGGAGAUCAUUUAAGAAUGGCCGGAUUAGGAUUGUUGAUAAGAUAAAGAUUUAUGGAACACCUCGGUUUGUGGGUUUAGGAGAGAAACUAUGGCAGAGUACACUGCGAAAAUAGAGUAACCAGAAAGAAGACUUAGGAUAAGGGAGCAAUAAGCUAGGCAGGAACUAUAUGAGGGGGAGAUCAGAAAUUAAAGAUGGCAAGACAACAUCAAAGUUUCUACCGUAAUUCCGAAGACAAAAUCCGCCAAAGAUAUAAAGGAAAGGUAGAAGAUCGCUAUAGAUCAUUCUUCAUAUAAUCAAUAUUAAAAAUGAGAAAGGGUGUAAGCAAAAACACCAAUAGUUUGCAGAACAUGAACAAUCACCCUUAUCAGAAACAGAUUGAAUGUAGGCAAACUUCCUGGAAGAAGUGAAAUGUUGAUGUUGACAGACAAAAAGGGGGAAAAAGAAAGUUGAGAGGCAUCAGCACACCUCGUGUUUGUGAAUGUCGAAUAGC